rnacentral:tRNA from 1 species
CGGGGUAUAGCUCAGCCUGGUAGAGCGCCAGCUUUGGGAGCUGGAUGUCGAGAGUUCGAAUCCUCUGCCCCGACCA